rnacentral:rRNA from 1 species
CCUACGGGUGGCAGCAGUAGGGAAUCUUCCACAAUGGGCGAAAGCCUGAUGGAGCAACGCCGCGUGGGUGAAGAAGGUCUUCGGAUCGUAAAACCCUGUUGUUAGAGAAGAAAGUGCGUGAGAGUAACGGUUCACGGUUCGACGGUAUCUAACCAGAAAGCCACGGCUAACUCCGUGCCAGCAGGCGCGGUAAUACGUAGGUGGCAAGCGUUAUCCGGAUUGAUGGGGCGUAAAGGGAACGCAGGCGGUCUUUUAAGUCUGAUGUGACGGCCUUCGGCUUAACCGGAGUAGUGCAUUGGAAACUGGGAGACUUGAGUGCAGAAUAGGAGAGUGGAACGCCAUGUGUAGCGGUGAAAUGCGUAGAUAUAUGGAAGAACACCAGUGGCGAAAGCGGCUCUCUGGUCUGGAACUGACGCUGUUGUUCGAAAGCGUGGGUAGCAAACAGGAUUAGAUACCCCAGUAUC